rnacentral:lncRNA from 1 species
AACUAGAUUAUUUUGUUAAGGAAAUUUUAUCUUCCUCAUCACUUUUGAAAACAUUAUCUUCCAUGUUGCUCAUGAAAACAUUAUCUUCCUUGUCAUUUUUAGAAACUGCAUCUUCUCCAUCAAUUUUGGAAACUUGAUCUCCCUCAUCAUUUUUGGAAACUUUAUCUUCUUCAUUACUCUUGGAAACUCCAUCUUCUUCACCACUUUUGGAAGCUUUAUAUUCCCUAUCACUUAAGGAAACGUUAUCUUCUUCGUCAAUUUCCGAAAAUUUAUUUCCCUCAUCACAUAA